AUGUUUAUCCUGUGCCAGCAACUGGAGACACAAGACCAAGAAGUGAAGGACUGGCAGCAUAGGGAACCCCUCCAAGCACUUCUGUCUGAAGGGAGACAGGCCUGCAAGAAGUUGAGGUGACAGGCCCUUUGGAGAAGAUUUCUUGGGUGGGGCCUGCAUCAUGGCUUGUCAAGACAAUUGGUGCUUUGGAGCCCCCUGCUUGGAAAAUGCUGCUGACCCUCUUCAGUGAGUCUUCAUCUGGUGGAGUCUUCAUCUGUUCUUACACUGAAGAGCAAAGAGCAGGGAUAAAGGUAUAAUGAUAGAUGGAUAAAUGGUACUUUUACCUUUCUUUAUAUGCCAUGAGGAACAGACUGCAGGGUAGUUUGACACCUGACAGAUUUUGGAAACCAUUAUUUCCUAUUACACAAAGGGCAAGAAUAAAUAAGCAUAAUGCUGUGCAUGUCAGAAGGAAGCCACCAGGCUGUGUCAGCUGUACUGAGCCUGCAAUGUUUGAUCACGCACUAGUCAUCAAUGGUACCACGUAACACUGCAAGCUGUUGCAACAAGUAGAAUCUAUCUGGGUGACACAGAUAGUCCAAAGCCCCAUGUUGAUUGGCUGGUUAGGCCUGUGUUGUCACAGCAAUGAACCAGUUCUCUCCAAUGCACAGUGGGACAUUGUCUCUGAUACCAGAAGAUCGCACCGAUUGUGAGCAACAAAUAUUAGGAAUGGAUACCCAGGUUCUCCUCUCUCUCUCUCUCUCUCUCUCCCUCUCUCCAUUAAGGACAUCAGCAGCUAGAAGGAAAGGAAACAGACCUGCCUAAACAGACCUGGAGAGAGCUGGAUGUUACAGCCAAACCAAGAGUCUGUCUUGGCUUCUACAGCUACAGAGACUUGUUCAGUGGGAGUGAGAUUUACCCCAUGUAGUAAGCCAGUGUAGGUCUAUACACCACUACACUCUUCCUCAUCAGCAGAAAGAUUACUUCCCCAAAGUGAGUCAGAGAAUAGUAUUUUACCAGGCAUAUUUACCUAUAGAGCUUUAACUAUAUAAUUAGAGCUGGGCAAAUCAAUUUGUGUCAUAGGUUUCCUAGUCACAACUCCUUAAUAUUUAGUGUACGUCCUCUUGUGAGCAGAACUUUCAGCAAUGUUGCCAACUCUUGUGAUUUUUAUCAAGAGCUUUGAAAUAUUUGGUGAUGUAUUUAUAAUCCCAGCUGCUGGAGGCAAGUGAUUGCAGGAGAAGUUUUGCUUUCGUUUUAAAAAGCUUCCAGCCUUUUUGAUUGUGGAGAAUAACUUGAAAAUGCUAUCCAAAUCCACCCUAAAGGCUCAAAAGCCAGAUGGCAAAUAAAAACCUAAUGGUGACAAAAAAGCCUCAUGAUUUUUAAGCCACUUGUAGUUUUUGGGGUCCAGAAUCAUGUUUUUUGAACAUUUGCGGUUGGCAAUAAUGGAAACUUGGCUCCAAGGAAUGAAGUGGCCAAGAAGUAUAACUGUUCGUUAAUGGUGUUAGAAAGUCCUCACUUUCCACCCUCUUUGUGUUUCUAUGCUAUCUCUGAAAUCAGGAUCUGCUAUGGUAGCAGCACCAGGAGUCUUGGAAGCUGCCGUUAAAUGGUGAAUUUAUUUCCACCUUGAGAACAACCCAGAGUUGGCUAUUGGACUUCUACAGUUGGAAUUUAGUCCAAUACAGUUACGGUAUUAAGAAAUGAGCUACAUCCAUGGAUCAGAAUUGCUAACUAGCUCAGAUUCAGAAUCCAUUCUUGAAGGUUAGACCUGGCAGAAUACAGGCAAUAUUUUUUCCAAAUUUCCUUCAAUGGUAUCCAUAACCCUUUGAAUUUGCUUUUCACAAGUGUGUGUCAAAUUUGUAUUUGCAUAAGUAUGUGCUCCAGUGCUAAUGUGGGAAUCUUAAUAUUCUUUAAUUAGACUAGCUCCUGUAGUCAGGGAACAGAACCAAGCAAUAUAGGUAACCUAUCACUGCUCAGAUAUCAAACCACAAAUACUAAAUACUUGAAUUUUUGAAGUGAACCAUUCACAAAGCAAUCUAUAGGCAGGCUUUUGUUUGAUCACAACAUGGUAUUUAUGGAUGCUGUGUAUUACUGCAUUUUUAUCUAUUCAUAGUGAGUUUUUAGACAAUUCACAAACCAGGAAAAAGGCUACAUGUAUCUAAUGAAUAGUUCACAUGAGUUAUGCUCCCAGCUCUAGAGAUUAGCAGAAUAGAAAAAACAGAACUUGAUUUCUGGAAGCCAUUGUGAGUAUACAGCCCAGACAAUAAGAAAAGCCUUGCCUGAUUCCCAAAUUUAAUCUGGAAGCUGAUGUUGGAAGAAUAAGUAUCAAGAAAUUCUUACUGAGGUACUAGUUUAAAAGCAGCAGGACUUUGGUUUUGGCUGUGUCGAUAAACUCUAAUGUCUUAACAAUGGUUGUUAACUCAGCAAUGGCAGAGCUGUGCUGUAACAUUGUU